AAGACUAUAGACCUGCGGAGUACCUGCGGAGGGAUCAUUACAGAGUUGUAAAACUCCCAACCCAUGUGAACAUACCUGUUGCCUCGGCGGCCUACCCGGUAGCUACCCUGUAGUUACCCUGUAGUCCGCCGGCGGAAUACAACAAAACUCUUGUUUAUUAUAUUGUCUCUGAGAAAAACUUUAAUAAGUCAAAACUUUCAACAACGGAUCUCU
rnacentral:misc_RNA from 1 species